rnacentral:lncRNA from 10 species
UCUAGGUUUACAAGCAUUCUAAAGACAAGGUGCAUGUUGCUGUAUGAGCCUGAAAUGGAAGGAUUUGAUACAAAGAAUUCCUAAGGAAGAAAAGAAUGACAACUGAAGAUUCAGGAGACUUUUACUAGAAGGAGAUGGCUCUAGGUUGACAAAAGACAUGGAGAAGCAUCAUGAUUCAGUGGAAAGAAAAAGUGCACUAGUCAGGAAGGCUGGCUUCUGGUUUAGGCAUAACCUAUCAAAUCAGCUAAACCUCAUCAUUUCUAUAAAUAGAGAUCAUAUGAGAUACGUUCUGUAGAUAUACAGAGACGUGUGAGACAAUAUGGACAGACCCUUCCCUCCAUAAUUACAUGGUCAUGCUUCAUUCACUGUUGUAUCCUUUCUCUAUCUAGAAGAACCCAGUACACAAAAGACUUGGAAAAACAUCUUUCUCGAAUGCUGAAAGGCUAAAACAGGCUGAGGUUAGCAAUUCCUGAAAAUCAACUCUGCCUUUAAUUUUACUGGAUAAACUGACCUUUCUUUGAGAUCACUCUGAUUGUCCUUUCAUAAAUAACUAACUUCACUCUAGCUGACAUCAUAGCUCAAAAAUACAGAACACAAAGAUAAUAUGUCAUGUCACAUUGCCACCUGAUGGCACUGGAAGGCAGUGGGGCACAGUGACCACACAACUUAUUAUCUGCAUAACCCAGAGAGUCUCAAGUUCCUCAUCUGCAGAAUGGACCUAAUAAGAAGAGGACCUGCCCUACAGAGUUCUUGCAGGAGAUUAAAUAAUAAAAGUCAAAUGCAGUGCCACGCACAAAGCAAACACUCAGAAAAUGUUGGUUGUUGUGAUUAUUAUUACGGCCCAUUUCACAUUCCUAUAAUGGAAAAUGUUUUUUUUAAUCUCUCUCCAAAUCAGUAUCUUAGAUUGAGAGGUUUCAGAUGAACCAGGUUGAAAACAUUCUCAGCAAAAAGAAAAAUGACAGUUUCAGUUGUACUGAUAGUAACAUAGAAGACUAAACAAGUAACCAG